rnacentral:rRNA from 1 species
UACGUAGGGGGCUAGCGUUGUCCGGAAUCAUUGGGCGUAAAGAGCGCGUAGGCGGCUAGAUAAGUCCGGUGUGAAAGUCACAGGCUCAACCUGUGAAUGCCGCUGGAAACUGUCUGGCUAGAGUCCGGAAGGGGCGAGUGGAAUUCCUGGUGUAGCGGUGAAAUGCGUAGAUAUCUGGAGGAACACCGGUGGCGAAGGCGGCAUCCUGGACCAAUUCUGACACUGAGGAGCGAAAGCCAGGGGAGCAAACGGG